GGUUGGUGGCUAAGACUGUGAAGCAGUGGAAUGGGAAGAUUAUCUCAGUAAGAUUAUCAUCACUAACAAUUUGAAAAAGAUGAAACUUUAGAAGGAUCAAAACUCAUCUAACAUAUAGAAAAAAAACUACAAAAAUUUUACAGCCUCCCAGUCCCAGUUACAAUAACAUCAAAAACAGCUUGCAACUUUUUGAGAUUCAGUCUCUCUCUCUCCACCCCUGACUUUGGUAACUGAAUAUGUUACCAACGUUGGAUUUGGAAGCUUAGCUAGGCUCUAGCUAAGUGAGGACCAUCGAUACAGCGACCAUUGAGAGAGAAUACCGAAGAGAAAGAAUGAAGCAGAACCGCCACAACAGUCAUCGUGACUUGACCCCUCUUUGGAAUCAAACGCCCAGAAAACUUCUGGUUCAAAUUCCCACCACCUUCCAUCAAAGCCCUCUUAGCAUCAGCCAUUUUGCAAUCUGGUUUUCUCCCUUAAAACUCGUAUGGGUAUUUGAACUUGAACAGAGGAAAAACAAACACAGAAAAAGUGAAUGAUUAUAAGAAAUUGGAUAAAGUUGGAUAAGCAAGAACCGCCCCCAGAAGGUCGCUUGUCGAAUGCCACCAAAGGUUAGUGUUGCUUUGUGUUGUUUAAAUUAAGUCAGAGCAAGAUCAGUUUGGAUCAUCUAUAUGAUUAGCAAAAGAAUGGGAAUCUUAAUAUGUUACUAAAUUGCAAGUUCUGAUCACUUGAGGGAUGUAUUUGGCCACAUGGGUCUUAGUGAUCAGGAUAUUGUUGUCUUAUCUGGAGGUCACAAUUCCCAGUUGUGGAUGUAUUGGUUCUACUUCGAUAUGAGGAUGAUCCUGUGACUGUGAGGAGACAAUAGAAUGGAGCUAAUUAUUAAGGAUUUAUGACUUGUUACACUCGUUAUGUGUGCCCUGAAUGUUAGGUAGAUGAGAUUAGAUUCCCAAAUUUGGAAAAAUUACCAUGUAGCUGCUUUGAGUUUUAUGGAUUGUGAAACCUUCUGUAUCCUAUAGCUGUAACAAUUUGCUGUUCUUAGUUUCUGUUGUUUUAAGGUUUACAUUACAUAGUGGAGUGAAGUAUGAGGUUUGAUGAAUAUAUACCAUGGUAGUGGUUAUGUGAAAA